rnacentral:rRNA from 1 species
UACAGAGGUGGCAAGCGUUGUUCGGAAUUACUGGGCGUAAAGGGCUCGUAGGCGGCCAACUAAGUCAGACGUGAAAUCCCUCGGCUUAACCGGGGAACUGCAUCUGAUACUGGAUGGCUUGAAUUCGGGAGAGGGAUGCAGAAUUCCAGGUGUAGCGGUGAAAUGCGUAGAUAUCUGGAGGAAUACCGGUGGCGAAGGCGGCAUCCUGGACCGACAUUGACGCUGAGGAGCGAAAGCUAGGGGAGCAAACGGG